GUUUAGAGAGAAGUGUCUUGAGAGAUGGGUCCCUCGUUAUUUGUGACAGGAGAGCUUGUGCUGAGUUCAGAGCAAUGACCUUUGUGUUGGCAAAGUUCUGUUGAAGUAAAUUUAAACCAGAGGUGAGGAGGCUUCCAAGUUUGUUCCCGAGAGUCGCUGACGGGAAAACAUAGAUGUCGGUGGAUGGUUACACAAAGAGUAGCAGAAGUGAUAGGUUAAAAAAAAACUAGAUUUCCUAUUCCACUUAGGAGUUGUUUAGUAAAUCUAAAAAAUAGCUUCAAGUUAUACGUAAGAACUCUGUGACAGCGGGUUUGAGGGAGAGUGGAGGAAUGGCAGGAGGGAGGAGGUGCCGAGACACACACAGGGACCCUGGGGACUUACAGGAAGUCACAGCCCCGUCGUGUUCCCCGAGAGCAGCGUCACUGUGGGUCUUGCAGCCGUGUGGGCAUUCGUGCUGGCAGCUGUGGGCCUGGGUCUACGGCACAAGGUGCUGCAGAAAGGGCGCCUUGCUUCAAAGGUCUUUCCCAACAGCAGCCAGAAGGGCCUUCCACAGACACCGCACUGGCCAUUUCAUGCCCCUGCUCACAGACCUCCUGGGGUCGCCUCCCCUGAGAGCCUUCCCUGACCCCGUGUGGCUCCCACAGCCCCUUUCUCUGUGCGUCACACCAGGAUGUCAUUGCCUUUCUCUUGGCUUCACUCAGGGACCCGCCUAUGGCUAGCAUACAUAGGGCUCAGAAAAAUAAAUAAAAAACGAGUGAAGAACUCCCUUUCUUAUUCCUUUCGGAUAAGUCACAAGAAGUGUCACGUUAUUUCAGUUUACCAGUCUAGCAGGACGAGGGCAGUAGCUAAGAGCUUGAUUGGAUUGAACUUCCAGGAUUUUCAUCUCGACUCUUCCCGGGUGUGAACCUGACCUUCGACCUGUUGACUUCCUUUUCCUGCUCGUUUGAACAGGAAAGUAGUGAAUGUCACCUACGUGAGGUUUGUCAUGGGGCUUAGAUGUGAGAAUCCCCAUCAAGAGCCUGGCCUGGAUGAGCUCUCAGGAUGAGUCAACCUCUCCAGUUACCUUGGGCUACAUCUGGACUUGGAGGGAGGCAGGAUCAGAGUCAGAGAAGGAAUGUGGCGCCGGAAGCAGAGGUUGGAGCAAUGAGCUCUGAAGAUGGAGCAGGGGCCGUGAGCCAAGGAAAACAGGCGGCCUUGAGAACCUGGGAAAGGCAGGGAAACAGAUUCUCCCCGGAGCCUCCAGCAGGAGCACAGGACUUGAUCUCAGCCCAGUGAGUGAUUUCAGACCUCUGACCUCCAGAGCCGUCAGAUAAAAACUUCAUCUUGUUUAAGCUGCCAAGUCUCUGGUUGUUACAGUAGCAACAGGAAACUCACGCACCUGUCUCCCUGGAGGGUCAUGGUAGGUGCCACUUGGUGUGAGUGGACAGGGCUCAGGGACAAAGUUCUGUUGAGUCCCUGCCCUGUGCUAGAAAUUUAGGUCCCUUCUUUACUCAUCACAAAAGGUCUGCGAAUGUGGGGUAUUCUCUCUCCCUUUCAGAUGGUAAAAUGGACUCAGAGAGGUCAGGUCACUUGUCCAAGGUCACCACCUAGUGAGUAGUAGGGCUGGCGCUUGAGCCGUGGUCCUCAUGCAUCACACUUCAGAGGCCCACCAAAUAAGAGCAUCCUCAGCAGGGCACCACGGUGGAGCCCUGGCGACUGGCUCUGGGAGUGCAGCCCUGAGAGUAAGGACUGCUCUUGCCACCGAAUUUGACCUUCAUGUCCCAUUGAAACCCACAGCCAGGGGGCCGGGGCCUUUGGAGUCCCCCUGGCCAUCCACAGGUAAGUACGUAAGAAGGUGAAAGUCCUCCUUCUGAGAUGGGCGACAGCGGUGCAGGCCUAGCUGGGCAGAGGCGAUCAGAUGGUCAGCGCGAACAAAGCCCAGGGAGAAGCACCCCUGGGCCCUGUGUGCUGUGUGGACAUGCGGCCAGGCCAGAGGUCCCGCUGGGCUUCACUGGGUGAAAUUCCAAACGGCAGGAAGUGGACGUUUUUGCCCUGGUGCAAAGCAGUCUACAAAGGGUUCGCCAGCAUCUGCUGGGCUUUCCCCUCCGACCUCAGACACCGCCCUGGGCCCCGUCACCUAUUUCUGCACAGACUCAGAGCCGCCUGUUGUCCUUCCUAAGGGACAGGCUUCGAGUUCUCACUUCCUGGGCAUGUCCUCUGUCCAGCCCUCACCUCCCCCUCCCUCCUCUGUCAACCCCUGGGCCUUUUCUUUGUCACAGUUCACCCUCUCUCCCCUCUGUUUGUUGGCAACAUGGUCCCAUAAGGUAUACAUUUUUAGGCCCCAGUCAUUUGAAUUUUUUUUUUUUAGAUUUUAUUUUUCCUUUUUUCUCCCCAAAGCCCCCCAGUACACAGUUG
rnacentral:lncRNA from 1 species